rnacentral:rRNA from 1 species
GACGAACGCUGGCGGCGUGCUUAACACAUGCAAGUCGAACGGAAAGGCCCUGCUUUUGUGGGGUGCUCGAGUGGCGAACGGGUGAGUAACACGUGAGUAACCUGCCCUUGACUUUGGGAUAACUUCAGGAAACUGGGGCUAAUACCGGAUAGGAGCUCCUGCUGCAUGGUGGGGGUUGGAAAGUUUCGGCGGUUGGGGAUGGACUCGCGGCUUAUCAGCUUGUUGGUGGGGUAGUGGCUUACCAAGGCUUUGACGGGUAGCCGGCCUGAGAGGGUGAUCGGCCACAUUGGGACUGAGAUACGGCCCAGACUCCUACGGGAGGCAGCAGUGGGGAAUAUGGCACAAUGGGCGGAAGCCUAAUGCAGCAACGCCGCGUGCGGGAUGACGGCCUUCGGGUUGUAAACCGCUUUCGCCUGUGACGAAGCGUGAGUGACGGUAAUGGGUAAAGAAGCACCGGCUAACUACGUG